UGGGGAAUAUUGCACAAUGGGCGCAAGCCUGAUGCAGCCAUGCCGCGUGUAUGAAGAAGGCCUUCGGGUUGUAAAGCACUUUCAGCGGGGAGGAAGGCGUUAAGGUUAAUAACCUUGGCGAUUGACGUUACCCGCAGAAGAAGCACCGGCUAACUCCGUGCCAGCAGCCGCGGUAAUACGGAGGGUGCAAGCGUUAAUCGGAAUUACUGGGCGUAAAGCGCACGCAGGCGGUCUGUCAAGUCGGAUGUGAAAUCCCCGGGCUCAACCUGGGAACUGCCUUUGAAACUGGCAGGCUAGAGUCUUGUAGAGGGGGGUAGAAUUCCAGGUGUAGCCGUUAAAUGCGUAGAGAUCUGGGGGCAUACCGGUGGCGAAGGCGGCCCCCUGGACAAAGACUGACGCUCAGGUGCGAAAGCGUGGGGAGCAAACAGG
rnacentral:rRNA from 1 species